rnacentral:rRNA from 1 species
UACGAAGGGUGCAAACGUUGCUCGGAAUUAUUGGGCGUAAAGCGCACGUAGGCGGCUUGGCAAGUCGGAUGUGAAAUCCCUCGGCUCAACCAAGGAAGUGCAUCCGAAACUGCUGAGCUUGAGUUCUUAAGAGGAUCGCGGAAUUCCCGGUGUAGAGGUGAAAUUCGUAGAUAUCGGGAGGAACACCAGUGGCGAAGGCGGCGUCCUGGACCAACACUGACACUGAUGAGCGAAAGCCAGGGGAGCAAACGGG